rfam:Gossypium hirsutum cultivar TM-1 chromosome 13, whole genome shotgun sequence
AACCCAUGGUGAGGGCAUCUUUGUAAGAGGUCUUUGUAUCUCUCCCAUGAAUCGUGGAGUGUUUCUAAAUCCAUCUGCACAAAAGAAGAGAUAUUAUUACGUAAUUU